UACGUAGGGUGCGAGCGUUAAUCGGAAUUACUGGGCGUAAAGCGUGCGCAGGCGGUGAUGUAAGACAGAUGUGAAAUCCCCGGGCUCAACCUGGGAACUGCAUUUGUGACUGUAGAGCUGGAGUGCGGCAGAGGGGGAUGGAAUUCCGCGUGUAGCAGUGAAAUGCGUAGAUAUGCGGAGGAACACCGAUGGCGAAGGCAAUCCCCUGGGCCUGCACUGACGCUCAUGCACGAAAGCGUGGGGAGCAAACAGG
rnacentral:rRNA from 1 species